rnacentral:misc_RNA from 1 species
UUUCCGUAGGUGAACCUGCGGAAGGAUCAUUCAUAAUAAGUGUUUUAUGGCACUUUUUUAAAUCCAUAUCCACCUUGUGUGCAAUGUCAGGGUUGAUUUUUCUCUCGAGAGGAUCAACCCCAAACAUCAACCAUAUCUCAACUCUUUGUCUGAAAAAUAUUAUGAAUAAAACAAUUCAAAAUACAACUUUCAACAACGGAUCUCUUGGCUCUC